AGUAAUAUAUCGGAACGUACCUAGUAAUGGGGGAUAACUCGUUGAAAGAUGGGCUAAUACCGCAUACGCCCUAAGGGGGAAAGAGGGGGAUUCGCAAGAACCUCUUGUUAUUAGAGCGGCCGAUAUCUGAUUAGCUAGUUGGUGAGGUAAAGGCUCACCAAGGCUUCGAUCAGUAGCUGGUCUGAGAGGACGACCAGCCACACUGGAACUGAGACACGGUCCAGACUCC
rnacentral:rRNA from 1 species